UACGGAGGGUGCAAGCGUUAUCCGGAUUCACUGGGUUUAAAGGGUGCGUAGGCGGUCGGGUAAGUCUGGUGUGAAAUCCUGGAGCUUAACUUCAGAAAUGCACUGGAUACUGCCCUGCUAGAGGACUGGAGAGGAGAUUGGAAUUCACGGUGUAGCGGUGAAAUGCGCAGAUAUCGGGAAGAACACCCGUGGCGAAGGCGGUUCUCUGGGACGGUACUGACGCUGAGACGCGAAAGCGUGGGGAGCGAACAGG
rnacentral:rRNA from 1 species